rnacentral:rRNA from 1 species
UACAGGGGGGGCAAGCGUUGUUCGGAAUUACUGGGCGUAAAGGGUCUGUAGGUGGCCAACUAAGUCAGACGUGAAAUCCCUCAGCUUAACUGGGGAACUGCGUCUGAUACUGGAUGGCUUGAGUGUGGGAGAGGAAAGCAGAAUUCCUGGUGUAGCGGUGAAAUGCGUAGAUAUCAGGAGGAAUACCAGUGGCGAAGGCGGCUUUCUGGGCCUACCCUGACGCUGAGGAGCGAAAGCGUGGGGAGCAAACCGG